rnacentral:rRNA from 1 species
ACGGAGGAUGCAAGCGUUAUCCGGAAUGAUUGGGCGUAAAGCGUCCGCAGGUGGCAGUUCAAGUCUGCUGUCAAAGACCGGGGCUUAACUUCGGAAAGGCAGUGGAAACUGAACAGCUAGAGUAUGGUAGGGGCAGAGGGAAUUCCUGGUGUAGCGGUGAAAUGCGUAGAGAUCAGGAAGAACAUCGGUGGCGAAGGCGCUCUGCUGGACCAUAACUGACACUCAGGGACGAAAGCUAGGGGAGCGAAUGGGA